rnacentral:rRNA from 1 species
UACGGAGGGUGCAAGCGUUAUCCGGAUUCACUGGGUUUAAAGGGUGCGUAGGAGGGCAGGUAAGUUCAGUGGUGAAAUCUCCGAGCUUAACUUGGAACUGCCGUUGAUACUAUCUGCCUUGAAUAUUGUGGAGGUGAGCGGAAUAUGUCAUGUAGCGGUGAAAUGCUUAGAUAUGACAUAGAACACCAAUUGCGAAGGCAGCUCGCUACACAUAUAUUGGACUCUGAGGCACGAAAGCGUGGGGAUCAAACAGG